UGAACGCUGGCGGCAUGCCUUACACAUGCAAGUCGAACGGCAGCGCGGGGCAACCUGGCGGCGAGUGGCGAACGGGUGAGUAAUAUAUCGGAACGUACCCUGGAGUGGGGGAUAACGUAGCGAAAGUUACGCUAAUACCGCAUACGAUCUAAGGAUGAAAGUGGGGGACUCGCAAGAGCCUCAUGCUCCUGGAGCGGCCGAUAUCUGAUUAGCUAGUUGGUGGGGUAAAGGCCCACCAAGGCUUCGAUCAGUAGCUGGUCUGAGAGGACGACCAGCCACACUGGAACUGAGACACGGUCCAGACUCCUACGGGAGGCAGCAGUGGGGAAUUUUGGACAAUGGGCGCAAGCCUGAUCCAGCAAUGCCGCGUGAGUGAAGAAGGCCUUCGGGUUGUAAAGCUCUUUUGUCAGGGAAGAAACGGUGAGGGCUAAUAUCCCUUGCUAAUGACGGUACCUGAAGAAUAAGCACCGGCUAACUAC
rnacentral:rRNA from 1 species